AACGAACGCUGGCGGCAUGCCUAACACAUGCAAGUCGAACGAGACCUUCGGGUCUAGUGGCGCACGGGUGCGUAACGCGUGGGAACCUGCCCUUAGGUUCGGAAUAACUCCCCGAAAGGGGUGCUAAUACCGGAUAAUGUCUUCGGACCAAAGAUUUAUCGCCUUGGGAUGGGCCCGCGUUGGAUUAGCUAGUUGGUAGGGUAAAAGCCUACCAAGGCGACGAUCCAUAGCUGGUCUGAGAGGAUGAUCAGCCACACUGGGACUGAGACACGGCCCAGACUCCUACGGGAGGCAGCAGUGGGGAAUAUUAGACAAUGGGCGAAAGCCUGAUCCAGCAGUGCCGCGUGAGUGAUGAAGGCCUUAGGAUUGUAAAGCUCUUUUACCCGGGAUGAUAAUGACAGUACCGUGAGAAUAAGCUCCGGCUAACUCCGUG
rnacentral:rRNA from 1 species